rnacentral:rRNA from 1 species
GGGUCCGGACACACUGAGGAUUGACAGGCAAUAUUAAUACGUGUUUCGGCGCGUAUUAUGUUAAAUAUGCUAGUCCUUUCAUGAUUAUGUGAUAGGUGGUGCAUGGCCGUUCUUAGUUCGUGGAGUGAUCUGUCUGCUUAAUUGCGUUUCACUAAGGAUCUAUCAAUACGUGUGUUGCGGCACUUUGACCCCUCUCUGAGCGCGCGUCUUAGUUGCUUAGCUCGCACAAUUAGGUCCUGAAAGCAACGAACGUGACCGCAACCUCUUGUUGCCUUUAUACCAAACACAUUAAUCACUUUUGUGAUUUUUGUGCAAAAAGGCUUUUUAAACUAGAGGGACCGCUGUUACUUUCUUAAACCAGAGGAAGGUUGCGGCAAUAACAGGUCUGUGAUGCCCUUAGAUGUUCCGGGCUGCACACGUGCUACAAUGAUUGUUGCAGUGAGCAUCUCAUUUUUACACACCGCAUGCGCGAGUCCAUUUAUUCACUUCGGUGCUUUAAAUGUGUAUUUCUGCGCGCGGUAAAGCCUGCUUCGAGAGUAAGUGGGU